GAUCGGUGCCCCCAGGUAGCGUGGUGCCCUAGGCGGUUGCCUGUUCUGUCUAUGGCUAAGGACGGCCCUGCAGAGAAGGGAGGUGCAUUUGGGCUGGUAAACCCAGGGGGCAGCCAGGGAGGUAGGAAAGGGCUCAAGAAAAGACAGUAGGGCCUAGAAGAGAACAGACCUUGACUACUUUCUAGAGUGUCCCUCAGCUGGAACCCAGGCUAGAGAGUGGGCCCGGGUUCCCGCCAGCCACUGAGGGAGUGGCACCAUGGGCCAGUGAAUGGGAAGACUUCCCAGGACUGCUGAAGGAAGACUUUGAUACCCCAAAAAGGGACAAUGCAGAUAGUGACCUGGCCAGAGGGCUGAAUCAUGACAAGGCAGCAGCAGCUCGUGGAGUUACAGAGGAGCUGCAGACCCAGAGAGACAGAGUGCAACUGUGGGAAUGGGCGUCAACCUUGUGAGCUAUCCCCCAGAACAACCAGGAGGCGGCGCCAUCCUAGCGGUGGGACUAUUACAGGAGGCUGGCCAGUUUGGCUUUCUAGGUCUCCCGCAGUAGCUCCAUGUCUGGGAUGCGCAUAAAACAAAAAGCCUGCGUUCCACCCCAAAAACCUCUGUUUUCAUUUCACAGGGCAGAGGAUUGACUCAUCCGCUCUCAUUAAAAUUAGCAAGAGAAGUUGUGGCGUUGACGGUAGCAUAGCCCAGCGGAUAGAGUAUUAAACUAGGAGUCAGGCUGGCUGGAUUCUGUCCCUGGCACUGCUAUGUGACCUGAGGAUAGAAGGCACCAAAUAAGAGAUGGACCAUUAGGAUGGAUGGAUGGGGGUCCCCCUACAGUGUGGAAAAGUCCUACAAAGCUGAAUUUGAUCUUGCAGGGUCCAUGACCACACACGGUGGUGUCAGAGACACAGGCCUGUGGGCAGGCAGGAGGAGAAGCUGGAUUACAAUGGUCACAACAAUAGCAAGGGGAAUGCAUGUUACUGGCAAGGGAAAUUGCUUUUUGCCUAAGAAAAGGGGCAUUGUUUGGUGGUUAGAGAGGGGGAGAAGGGUAGGUUUUCCUCCCAGGGAAGCUACCCGCAUUAGAAAAGACCUCCCUCUACCGUUCCUAUGCUGCCAUGGAAAGGGGAGUGUAGAGUAGUGGUUGGAGUUGGGAAUUGCAGGCCCUGUGUUCCGGCUCGGACACUAACCACAGGCCUCAGUGUUUCCAUGGUAACAACACUACUCACUGCACCUUUGCAAGGUGCUUUGAGCUCCCUGGGAUAAAGGGCGUGAGAUAAAGGUAGAGGGUUAUUUGUGUUUAGGGAUACCUUGGCUUUAUGAAAAUAAAAACUCAAAAGAAAGGCAAAACCCCCUCUGGUCAAUUAAAUUAAAGACGCGAAUACCCCUAAUUACCACAAGAUGCUCCCCAAGUCAGACAGCAGCUCAUCAAGCGGAUGUGCUCACAUUCUAUUUCCUCAGCCUCCAGCUUGCGUGGGCAGAUUCCAGCACCAGCCACUAAAUAAAAAUUGUCUAACAAGUGUCGACAUUGAGAAACUGCCUUGGCUUUCGGUCCCUGCAUUUUUCCCAUCCUCCAGGCCAAGUUGCAAACAUUUUGUCUGCAUUAUUCACAACAGAAAGAGCUUGUUUAAAAAAAAAGUCCAUAAAAGCAACUGCUCGAAAGGAGAGUUUGCAUUCCUUGAAGUCCUUCUGUGUUGUAGAAGACCUGCAAAGGGGUAGAUUUGAUCUUUUACGGUGAAACC